rnacentral:lncRNA from 1 species
CAGAGUCAAUGUGGAGGCUAUAUACAGGGGGGUACCGGUACAGUGUCAAUGUGGAGGCUAUAUACAGGGGGUACCGGUACAGAGUCAAUGUGGAGGCUAUAUACAGGGGGUACCGGUACAGAGUCAAUGUGGAGGCUAUAUACAGGGGGGUACCGGUACAGAGUCAAUGUGGAGGCUAUAUACAGGGGUACUGGUACAGAGUCAAUGUGGAGGCUAUAUACAGGGGGUACCGGUACAGAGUCAAUGUGGAGGCUAUAUACAGGGUACCGGUACAGAGUCAAUGUGGAGGCUAUAUACA